rnacentral:rRNA from 1 species
GAUGGACGCUGGCGGCGUGCCUAAUACAUGCAAGUCGAGCGAACAGACGAGGAGCUUGCUCCUCUGACGUUAGCGGCGGACGGGUGAGUAACACGUGGAUAACCUACCUAUAAGACUGGGAUAACUUCGGGAAACCGGAGCUAAUACCGGAUAAUAUAUUGAACCGCAUGGUUCAAUAGUGAAAGACGGUUUUGCUGUCACUUAUAGAUGGAUCCGCGCCGCAUUAGCUAGUUGGUAAGGUAACGGCUUACCAAGGCAACGAUGCGUAGCCGACCUGAGAGGGUGAUCGGCCACACUGGAACUGAGACACGGUCCAGACUCCUACGGGAGGCAGCAGUAGGGAAUCUUCCGCAAUGGGCGAAAGCCUGACGGAGCAACGCCGCGUGAGUGAUGAAGGUCUUCGGAUCGUAAAACUCUGUUAUUAGGGAAGAACAAAUGUGUAAGUAACUAUGCACGUCUUGACGGUACCUAAUCAGAAAGCCGCGGCUAACUACGUG